AGCUCUCUGCACCCCUCCUCUCCCCCAGGACCCCCUCCAGGCUGUUGCCUCCUGUUGCCAAACCCAAGGUCACACGUCCUGCGUCUUCCUGCUCCCCCUGCCUGGCGCUCCCCUGGCUUCCUCCUCGCCUCCCUCCCCUCCCUCUCCAUCUGCUCUGGGCCCUGGUCUUCUGCCCUUUCUCGCUUUCCUGUCUCACCCAUGUCUCUCGCCCAUAGUCACCUCUGCCACCCAGACUGUUCCCUGAAGCCCAGGCCGUCCACCAGCUGGCACCUUGACGCGUCUCCUCUGCAUCCAGGGGCACCUUUGAUGCGUCGCCUCUGCACCCAGGGGGCACAUCGAAGCUGCGGUGUCCAGACUGCACUCCUGAUGCCUCCCCCAGGCGGCUCCCUGCACGACCCUCCGCGCUUAGCUCCACAAAUGGCAACCCCCCACCCCAGGGCUCAGACCCAAGUUGGGGGCACCCUCGACCCCACACCCAUGCCUGGUUCGGUAGCAAGUGGUGCUGCCAGCUCCGCCCCCAACGCACAUUCUGACACCACGCACUCCUCACCUGGCGGUCAGGAGCUUCCUCGCUCACUCACCGUCUCCUCCGCCUCUCCUUUGCCCCAGCCCGGGGGAGGUGUUCCAGCAGCCAGAGCGGUUGCACCCCAAUACCAUCAGCUUCUGUUCGGACCCUCCAGAAAGGGGCCAGGAGGCAGGGGCUUCCCUGGGACUGCCCUCCCUGCCUCCCCCGCUGACCACCCUGCAAGCCAAGAGCCGUCCACACCAGCAUCGCAAGGCCCCACAAAGCGGGGCGCAUAGACAGCGUGGCUGGUGGAGCCGAGCCCACAGGGACACACGGGGAGCCGUCUUUCUCCAGUGGCAGGUGACACAGCUAGGACGCAGCUCACGAAGCCACGCAUCCACCCUGCGGCACCCUGGGCGGAUCAGGGCCUCUCCUGAAAUCAGAAAGUGCGCUGCGGCCUGACCGACUUCAGUCCCCCCGGGUCAAAGCCUUUCCUCCCUGCCCGACACAACCUGGGCUGGCGCCUCCGGUGGAGAAGGGGGUGGGCUCCUCGCCCCUCUCCUUCUUUCCCUGCUGCUUCUCUUGAUUGGCUCCCCCGAGGGGAUGAAGGAGGAGGGCGGGCUCCCCUCCUGCCACCCACAACCGUGGCUGCCCCCAUGAUGCUGUCUCCAGCAGGGCCCCUCCCCGGCAGCGUACCCACGGCCUCCUGCUGCUGCUUCCCCGAGCCACCCCUAUUGGACCCCAGGAGGGGCUCCCCAGCUGCCUGGAUCGGAAGCAGGGAGCCCUGU